rnacentral:rRNA from 1 species
UACGUAGGGUGCGAGCGUUGUCCGGAUUUAUUGGGCGUAAAGAGCUCGUAGGCGGUUUGUCGCGUCGGCCGUGAAAACCUACAGCUUAACUGUGGGCUUGCGGUCGAUACGGGCAGACUUGAGUUCGGCAGGGGAGACUGGAAUUCCUGGUGUAGCGGUGAAAUGCGCAGAUAUCAGGAGGAACACCGGUGGCGAAGGCGGGUCUCUGGGCCGAUACUGACGCUGAGGAGCGAAAGCGUGGGGAGCGAACAGGAUUAGAUACCCUGGUAGU